UUUUUUUUUUUUUUUUUUUUUAUUUUUUUUUUAGGAAGAUUACAGCCUUUAAUCUCCUCAAAAUAAAUGUGCAUAUAAACCAUGAACAAUUUAAUUAUAGCUGUAUUUAUAAAAUGCUUACUAAUGACUAUUAAUUUUGGGAGUAGGCUAGCAACAGUUGAUGUUGAGGCCUAAGAUAUUUUUUAAGCUGUAAUGAUGAAAAAACAACAACAACACAAAAUUGCUUUUUUUUCUGCUGGUGAUUAAAGAGAUGAUUAAGUCUCCCUCUCUCUCUCUCUCUCUCUCUCUCUCUCUCUCUCUCUGACACCAAGCCCAUCCCCUCUCCCACACAUUCACACAAACUCAGCACACACACUUAACACACACACACUUAACACACAAACACACACACACACAUACACAUUACCCAGAGGGACAGAGUGACAUCAGAUGUAUGGUAGUUUUUUAAUUUUCUAUCAUCCAUAUAGUGUUGUAUAGUCAUGAAACUAUGCAUAUUUCCUCAGCAUGACUUGUCUUCUAUGUGUACAUUUUGUUGAAUUGUUUAGAACUUGCACUUAAAAAAAUAAAAGACAUUUACUGGUUCCUUUUUUACUGUUAUUUCAAAAAAUCACCAUGACAAAACCAUUCAAGCUAUCCAAAAUUAAUUCGCAGCUGUUCUGUAAGAUAAAUUCUUUAAACAGUGGUAAAAGAGGAUGUGGUGCUGAUCCUUCAAGAGUCACUCCAAACUUAUCUGUCCAUAAAGCCUAUAAAGAAUUAUUCUUAAUACACAGUAUUACAGAAUACUUCAGCAUAUUAUUCUAAUUAAGUGAGGGUCAUUUUAUCAGUAAAAUACAUAUUAUUUUUCUUUGAAAGAUUUCUAUAAAUGAUUUAAAUCAUACUUGUUUCUACAAUAAUUAUUUAAAAGUAAUCAUAUAGCGCCAUCUGGUGGCCAUUAUUGGUACUAAGAAUUGCAAGCUUGAUUUAUAUGUUAUGAUAGUUUAAAUUUUAAGCUGGCUCUUGAAAAUGAUAAAGCUAUGAAACUUGCUGUGCUUCUUUCAAAUGAUGACUUCUACGUAUAUAAAAAAUUAUGAAGAGUUGGAAUGAAGAAUGUUAAAGAUAUAGUAAAAUAACUAUUGUAUUUUUUUAUGUUACUUUAAUAAAUCGGUAUGGCCACACCAUUUAAGGUAUCUUAAACCCAUUCGCAAUUUAACAUCUUCAGUAUAUUGGCAUCAUGUUGAAAAAGUUUGGUGUGAACUACUUGUGUCUUCUUGGAGGAGUAUGAUUCAUUUACAGGCUGAUUUGAUCAUAAAUCCACAAUAACAUUUCUGAGUUCUGUAUCAAUCUGUGUUGUUGUUUGUUUAUUUUCAUUUUUUUAUUUUUCAUAGGAAGAUAACUGACCCUUUACUCUCCUUUUUAAUAAAUGUGCUUAUAAACCAAGAUCAAGCUAUUUAUAGCUGUAUUUAUAAGCUGCUUAUUAAUGACCAUUUAAGUUGGGACAAGACUUUAUAAAGCAUGAACUGACUAUUUACUAAUGAGUGCAGUUAUUAUAAAGUGUUACCAAUGCAUUUACUAAUGUUAACAAAUUAGACAUUAUUUUACAGUGUUAUCAAAUCCCUUAAAUGAUUAACAAGCAUUUGUGAAAGUUCUGCUUGCAUUACAGCUUAGUCUUCAUCUGCGAGCUGAACAGUUUUACUGUUACAUCCAUGAGAUUAUGUAAAUUAAGAUAAAUGUCAUGUCACAGGAUGGAAUAGGUCAGUAUCAAAUGAGAUUGAAAUUAUUAUUUGCAGCACAAAUAAGUAUUUUUAGAAUUUUGUUUUUAAUUCCUGAAACUGUCAGAAAAGGAUAAGGCCUAAGAGAUUUCUUAAGCUGUAAUGAAAACAGCAAUGUUAGCAACAGCAACAAAAAAUAAUUUAAAAUA